AUACUCUGGUUUCUCUUCAGAUCAAAUAAAUCUUUUGCCUUUUACUAAAGAUUUCCGUGGAGAGGAACAACCAGGGCUGGAUUAACAAUGGGGCGGAUGGAGCUGCAGCUCCAG